GAUCCAUAACCCCCGCAGCCAGGAGCUGGAGGUCGAGUUUAAAGACGAGAAACACGAGUGUAAGUUGGGCGUUUUGACGGUGCCGCUGACUCGCCUUCUGGAGGCCGAGGAAAUGACCUUAAAUGAACGUUUCCCCCUCAAGAACUCCGGCCCGAGCUGCACGCUGAAGAUGAAGAUGGCUCUGAGGGUGCUGAGCUUGGACAAAAACCCUCCCUCUUCCUCCGACUCCUCCGACUCCUCCCGAUAUAAACGAUG